UACGUAGGGUGCGAGCGUUGUCCGGAAUUAUUGGGCGUAAAGAGCUCGUAGGCGGUGUGUCACGUCGGCCGUGAAAACCUGCAGCUUAACUGUGGGCGUGCGGUCGAUACGGGCGGGCUGGAGUUCGGUAGGGGAGACUGGAAUUCCUGGUGUAGCGGUGAAAUGCGCAGAUAUCAGGAGGAACACCGGUGGCGAAGGCGGGUCUCUGGGCCGAUACUGACGCUGAGGCGCGAAAGCCAGGGGAGGCGAACGGG
rnacentral:rRNA from 1 species